GACGAACGCUGGCGGCGUGCUUAACACAUGCAAGUCGAACGGAAAGGCCUCUUUCGGGGGGUGCUCGAGUGGCGAACGGGUGAGUAACACGUGAGUAACCCGCCCUUGACUUUGGGAUAACUUCCGGAAACUGGGGCUAAUACCGGAUAGGAGCUCCUGCUGCAUGGUGGGGGUUGGAAAGUUUCGGCGGUUGUGGAUGGACUCGCGGCUUAUCCGCUUUUUGGUUGGGUAGUGGCUUUCCAAGUCGUCGCCGGGUUGCCGGCCUGAUAGGGUGACCGGCGCCACUGGGACUGAGAUACGGCCCAGACACCUACGGGAGGCAGCUGUGGGGAAUAUUGCACAAGGGGUGGAAGCCGGAUGCAGCAACGACGUGGGCGGGAUGACGGCCCUCGGGUUGUAAACCGCUUUCGCGCCUGACGAAGGUUUGUGUGACGGUAGUGGGUAAAGAAGCACCGGCUAACUACGUG
rnacentral:rRNA from 1 species